rnacentral:rRNA from 1 species
CCUACGGGUGGCAGCAGUGAGGAAUAUUGGUCAAUGGCCGGAAGGCUGAACCAGCCAAGCCGCGUGAGGGAGGAAGGCGCAGAGCGUCGCAGACCUCUUUUGCCGGGGGACAAAAGGCCGGACUCGUCCGGUCCUGAGGGUACCUGUCGAAUAAGCCACGGCUAACUACGUGCCAGCAGCCGCGGUAAUACGUAGGUGGCAAGCGUUGUCCGGAUUUACUGGGUGUAAAGGGCGUGUAGCCGGGUUGACAAGUCAGAUGUGAAAUCCUGCGGCUUAACCGCAGAACUGCAUUUGAAACUGUUGAUCUUGAGUACUGGAGAGGCAGACGGAAUUCCUAGUGUAGCGGUGAAAUGCGUAGAUAUUAGGAGGAACACCAGUGGCGAAGGCGGUCUGCUGGACAGCAACUGACGGUGAGGCGCGAAAGCGUGGGGAGCAAACAGGAUUAGAUACCCCAGUAGUC